rnacentral:rRNA from 1 species
AGCGAAUAGAUACCCGGGUAGUCCACGCCCUAAACGAUGUCGACUGGUUGUUGGGGGUUUGACACUCUCAGUAAACGAAAGCUAAACGCGUGAAGUCGACCGCCUGGGGAGUACGGCCGCAAGGUUAAAACUCAAAGGAAUUGACGGGGACCCGCACAAGCGGUGGAUUAUGUGGAUUAAUUCGAUGCAACGCGAAAAACCUUACCUACCCUUGACAUGUCCGGAAGGCUGCUGAAAGGCGACUGUGCCCGAAAGGGAACUGGAACACAGGUGCUGCAUGGCUGUCGUCAGCUCGUGUCGUGAGAUGUUGGGUUAAGUCCCGCAACGAGCGCAACCCUUGUCAUUAGUUGCUACAUUCAGUUGGGCACUCUAAUGAGACUGCCGGUGACAAACCGGAGGAAGGUGGGGAUGACGUCAAGUCCUCAUGGCCCUUAUGGGUAGGGCUUCACACGUAAUACAAUGGCGCGUACAGAGGGCUGCUAAGCCGCAAGGUAGAGCCAAUCCCUUAAAGCGCGUCGUAGUCCGGAUUGCAGUCUGCAACUCG